GGCCUAGUAUUGAAAAAAAUACUUAUGCACUUUGGGCUGCUGAGUGCUGGAGUGGGCUGGACUGCUGGAGUCGAAGCGACGAGGGCAUCGAGGAUCGAGCCAUCGAGCGACCAGCGCUGAAACGCGAUCGGGGAUCGAUCUCCUCCUCCAGUCCUCCUACUCGUCGAUGUCUCGGUCGACGGUCGCUACAGCCUACAGGAAAGGUCCUUUGAUCCAAGGUGUUCACUUCGCCUGUGUUGGAGUCCGAUCCCACGGUCCCUGUAUCCGAUCGAUCCAAGGUGUUCUGGAGUCUAAUCCCUCGGUCGAAGGUGUUCUAUCCUGGAGUCUGAUCCCUCGCCCCUCGUCCCUGGAUCGAGAUCACAGGGUGACUGGCCGCUGCAGGUGAAUACAAGGACCUCCACUCCUCCAGACUCAUAAACACAUCCCCUACAGGUAGAUUGAGCUCCGCCGCCGUAGAUCAGAGAUAUGGAAGUUAGAUUUGAUAUAGCUUUUGUUGCCUCAAGUAUUUCUGACGGUAAAUUUCGAAUAUCUCCCCAGAAUAUAUCGGAAAAUAUCCUAUGUUUUCUUUAAUUACUAGCAUACCGGCAUAUAUUUUGUAUGUGAUAUAUACUUCCUAGUGCUAUACCAUUGUAACAAGUAUAAAAACAGUUUGUCUUUUUUCCUAGACAUAGUUGUAUACAUCAUAUUAUGGUAUAUAUAUAGGCUCAUGAGCCUAGCAGUUUGCCUUUUAGUUUAUUAUUAUUCCAAUGUAAAAGACAUAAAUAUGAUUUAGCCUCUAAAUAUUAGUCUCUUACAUAUUUCUAGUGCUAUACUACAUCCAAAUAUUGCAAUGCCUUUUCUUGGACAGUGCACAUAACUAGAAUACUAGGCCCGUAAGGGUUCGAUUUACCUGAUAUUUUUGGAAUUUUUUUCACGGUAGCUGUAAAAAUUACGCGUGUGACCGAAGUGUUUCGUGCCCUUCGUUUGCCACGUUCUAUCCCACCGUGUGGACUUGGCGCGUGUGACCUUCUGGGCUUUACAUGUCCUACGCUGCGAUUUUUGUACUCCUAGAUACUUUUCUUGUCUCUCUCGAAGCCUCGAGCCCAAUCCCGUGACACCGCUACGCCGCACUUACCCAAUAUAAAAGGGCAUCAGACAGACUCUCGCCUCAUCUCUCUGUGCCCCCUCCCGCCGCAUCCCCAUCCCCUUCUCUUCUUCGCGGAUGCGCUCGCCCAUGCCGCCGGUGACCCUCACCAUCCAAGCCCUCCCCCACGUCGUUGUCAGACGUCGGAGGGAGUUGUGGCUUUGGCUAGGCUGAGGGUCGUUGCCGAGGCAUGGAGGCGCCUCAGUUGCCCAUCUCCCCGCCUCAGUGAUGGAGAGGUGCGAGAUGGAUGUGGGGAGGAGCGGGCAUGGUGCGGUGGACGGAGGAGGCGUUGGCAUGGCGGCAGCGGCGGGAGCGGUUGGAGGCAACCGCGGGCAUCCAGUCGUCAGUCGUCACGGCAGGGGGCGAUGUGGCUGCUCAAGGUCCGGUUCAUCAUGGAAGUCACGGAGGUAACCCAUAUCCGAGCAGUACUAGACUCCAAUCGCAUGACACGCUGCUUCCACCAGUGAUGUGCUGUGAGCUUCAUGGUUGGGUGUAGACUCCUGCUUAAAGUUUUCGAUCUACACAGUUUCCGGGAUGGAUGUGUUGUGUGACUAAUUUGUUUCUGAAAAUUCCAAGGUUUUCAUGUGGUUCCAGUAAAAAUUUGUUGAUUGAGAUAAGUUUGAUUGAUCUGAUGAUUUUGUUGUUUCUUACUGUCAGAAGAGGUUGAUCUCAUGUUGUUUAUUUUUUAGGAUAUGGGAUUUAUUUUGCAGGAAAGAAUUUUGCAGUGGGCAGAGCGUCCUUGCCUCAUUGGACAUGUUCCCUCUCAUGGCGAGCCUCAGUGGCCUGUGGCCGCCAGUGUACCCGCUCGGUGCCUGACGGUGCGAGGGCGGCCUUGUACACUGGCAGUGCCAUAAUUCAUGGACUUGAAAAACCUCGGACAGUGAAGAACAUGGCAUUCUUGAUAUAAUGGUUUCAAGCCUUUUGAUGGAAGCUCCUGUAUCUUCCUAGCAAGGCCGAUGGACUCUGGUGCAUGGUUUACUAGGUGAUAACUAAAACAAUCAUUCUUUGGCUGACAUUUGAAGUAAGAUUAAAAACAACCUACAGAACAAACUGGAGAGGGUACACAUCAGAUGGCUCCCUCUAAUGGAGAAUGAACUGAAGAUUAAUAUUGAUGGCGCUUUCCACCCUGAACCAAACACUGGUGGUUGGGGGAGAGGUAAAAGUAUGUGGAGCAGGGAGAUUGGAGAAUAUUAUUAAUCCCUUACAUGCCGAGAUCAGGCUGUUAUACGGGGCGCCUAGCUAGGAAUGGAUAAAGGAGUGAGAGUCAUUGGCCUUGAAAUAGAUUCAGAGCUGUUGAAGCAAGAGUUAAACAACGAUGAAUGUGGUCUCUGUGCUGUCUACCUAGGCUUAGAGGAGCUCAAGAAAUAUCUGAAGCAAAACUUUGAAGUGUGUCGUUUUACUUCUGCUAGGAGGAAUUGUAAUAAAGUAGGCCAUUGUUUCACUAGCUAUAGUAGUACCUUAAGCAUGUAUGAUCAUCUUCAACCAGAUCAUGUAAUUCCACUUGU